AAGUCGUAACAAGGUUUCCGUAGGUGAACCUGCGGAAGGAUCAUUAUAAAAUUUAUCAUAUAUUAAAUUUAUUUAAUAUAUAAAAUUUAUACAAAAAUGUAUUCAAAACCCACACUCUUUAUAACCAUAAAAAAAUAUAUUAUAUAUUUAUAAUAUAAUAUAAAAAAAACAACUUUCAACAACGGAUCUCUUGGCUCUC
rnacentral:misc_RNA from 1 species